UUGAAUACUAUUGAGCGCUGUGCUGGCCUUUCGGGGCAUGUGCACGCGUUCUUUAUUAUCUAUCUCUUGUGAACCUAGUGUGGGCUUUGGAGGAACAGUCGGUCUUUUGUGCCUUCUGGGAAUCUGAAGACCAUUUUUAUAAACAUUUAAAAAAGUUAACAGAAUGUCUUCUUUACUUGACGCAAGUCAGUAAAAAAAACCUAUA
rnacentral:misc_RNA from 1 species